rnacentral:rRNA from 1 species
GAUGAACGCUAGCUACAGGCCUAACACAUGCAAGUCGAGGGGUAACAAGAGAAAAGCUUGCUUUUCUUGUUGACGACCGGCGCACGGGUGAGUAACGCGUAUCCAACCUGCCUAUAACUAGGGAAUAACCUUGCGAAAGUAAGACUAAUACCCUAUGAUUUCCUUUGAUGACAUCAGAUUAGGAAUAAAGAUUUAUCGGUUAUAGAUGGGGAUGCGUCUGAUUAGCUUGUUGGCGGGGUAACGGCCCACCAAGGCAACGAUCAGUAGGGGUUCUGAGAGGAAGGACCCCCACAUUGGAACUGAGACACGGACCAAACUACUACGGGAGGCAGCAGUGAGGAAUAUUGGGCAAUGGGCGGGAGCCUGAACCAGCCAAGUAGCGUGCAGGAUGACGGCCCUAUGGGUUGUAAACUGCUUUUAUACAGGAAUAAAGUUAGCCACGUGUGGUUAUUUGUAGGUACUGUAUGAAUAAGGACCGGCUAAUUCCGUGCCAGCCGCCGCGGUAA